rnacentral:rRNA from 1 species
UGGGGAAUAUUGGACAAUGGGGGCAACCCUGAUCCAGCGAUGCCGCGUGUGUGAAGAAGGCCUGAGGGUUGUAAAGCACUUUCAGUUAGGAGGAUGCUGUUACUGGUUAAGAGCUGGUAAUGGUGACGUUACUGACAGAAGAAGCACCGGCUAACUCCGUGCCAGCAGCCGCGGUAAUACGGAGGGUGCGAGCGUUAAUCGGAAUUACUGGGCGUAAAGGGUGCGUAGGUGGUUUGGUAAGUUAGCUGUGAAAGACUAGGGCUUAACCUUGGGGAGUCAGCUAAGACUGUCAGACUAGAGUACAGUAGAGGGUAGUGGAAUUUCCGGUGUAGCGGUGAAAUGCGUAGAUAUCGGAAGGAACACCGGUGGCGAAGGCGGCUACCUGGGCUGUUACUGACACUGAGGCACGAAGGCGUGGGGAGCAAACAGGAUUAGAUACCCCGGUAGUCC